GAUGAACGCUGGCGGCGUGCUUAACACAUGCAAGUCGAACGGAAAGGCCCAAGCUUGCUUGGGUACUCGAGUGGCGAACGGGUGAGUAACACGUGGGUGAUCUGCCCUGCACUUCGGGAUAAGCUUGGGAAACUGGGUCUAAUACCGGAUAGGACGAUGGUUUGGAUGCCAUUGUGGAAAGUUUUUUCGGUGUGGGAUGAGCUCGCGGCCUAUCAGCUUGUUGGUGGGGUAAUGGCCUACCAAGGCGUCGACGGGUAGCCGGCCUGAGAGGGUGUACGGCCACAUUGGGACUGAGAUACGGCCCAGACUCCUACGGGAGGCAGCAGUGGGGAAUAUUGCACAAUGGGCGCAAGCCUGAUGCAGCGACGCCGCGUGGGGGAUGACGGCCUUCGGGUUGUAAACUCCUUUCGCUAGGGACGAAGCGUUUUUGUGACGGUACCUGGAGAAGAAGCACCGGCUAACUACGUG
rnacentral:rRNA from 1 species